UUCAGCACAUGUGUAAACGUUUUUAAGCCUCUCGGACGACCAGAAAUGUCCCGAAAUUACAUGUUUCUCAUGCACCUGGACGAUUUUUGCAAGUUCCACAAGAAUUGAAGAACAUUGUGAUGAACUAAUGACGACAGAGAUGUCUGGUCUUCAGUCUUUGUGGAUGCCCAUCACACUGAGCAGAGAUGUCUCAAUCUAUCCAUGUUGAAGCCUUGAUAAGUCGCCAGCAGUCUGCUUUCUCUAUUCAACCAACUUCCUGAUUUACAGAUACGUACUAAUGAAGACUGCAGAGCUGUCUGAUCUUCAUUGGCUGUCCAUCAAACUGAACAGAGAUGUCUCAAUCUAUCAAUGAUGAAGUCUUUGAGAGUCUCCAGCAGUCUGCUUUGACAACUCAAUCAACUUCACAUUUAAAGAUCAACUAAUCCAGACAGUUGAGAGUGUCAGAUCUUCAUUCAGAGUGGAAGUACCUGUGCCUUGAACAAUCAACCAACUUGAGAGAUCAACUAAAUCCAGACAGAGAGUGUCGGAUAUUCACAAGGAGUUUGCAGCCCAUCAUACCGCCAUCAACAUCGAUGUAUCAACCUUUUUGCAGACCUGCCAACUAGUACGUUUUUCCCGUACUUCGUACGGGUUUUUGUAAAAAAUACGGGUGUACGGGUUUUGCAAAAAAAAUACGGUUUGAGCAUCGCCACCGCAAAAAUACAAUUUUAUCCCAGUUGGCCGUCAUGCCCUUUUUUUAACUCAAGUUAAAAAUUUUUUUUUUUACACAAAUAAGUUUUCGGCCAACUACUUACGGCCAAUAAUGAUUAUCCAGUAAACUCUAUUGUUCCACGGGGGUAUUCCUUAUUCAACUUUCACCACACAUCGAGCGAGCGCAACGGAGAUUCCCUCGCAUCCAUCAUUGCACGCACGCUAGUAGCACAAACCUGCAUUGCUUUACUACACGCCAGUUUAUCUGACGUCCCGAUUUCACAGGGAACCCGUCUAACACAAUUCAUUGACCAACAGAGGGCGCUUAUAUGGUAUCGGUCGUUUUGUGAAUGGACGAAUCGGGUUUGCAAAAGAAUUUUUUGCCAAAAUAAAGACACAAAAGAUAUAGAGCGCCUGAAGCGAGAUUUUUAUAAGAUAAAUUUAAGAACUAUGCCCCCAAAUACAACAAACGAAAAAUUUUGGGAUGAUUUGUUUUUUUGUCAUCUUCAUUGAAAUUAAAUUGGUUUUGUUUUGUAGUUGUCUUCUUUUGACAAAGAAAAUGAUAUUUAAUUAGUUGACAAGGGUUUCUAUAUGAAAAAGGAUAUGAUUAAUCAAUGUCUUUAAGAUAUGAUUGAUCAAGAUCUUUUUUCAUACAAAACCGGUUCCAUUGGGUUAACCACCCCUAGGGAAA